UACGGGGGGAGCAAGCGUUGUUCGGAUUCAUUGGGCGUAAAGGGUGCGUAGGCGGCGCGGUAAGUCGGGUGUGAAAUCUCGGAGCUUAACUCCGAAACUGCAUUUGAUACUGCCGUGCUUGAGGACUGGAGAGGAGACUGGAAUUUACGGUGUAGCGGUGAAAUGCGUAGAUAUCGUAAGGAAGACCAGUGGCGAAGGCGGGUCUCUGGACAGUUCCUGACGCUGAGGCACGAAGGUCAGGGGAGCAAACGGG
rnacentral:rRNA from 1 species